GCUAAGUAUCAGCUUCAGAGCUGGAUCCACUGGACCAGCUGAAGAGAGGAGAAUCUCUUUGACUGAUUCCAACUCACUGUUGAAGCACAACUACUCAUCUCUGACUGGAAUACUUGAGAAAAUCAAACAGAUCAACCAAAAAAAGUUCAUUUUUGUCUUGUUUUCUUUUGUGCAUAGUUUCUUUGUCUACUGCAUCUCCAAAGAGAAGCACUUAGAGAGUACUCAACUUCUUCCAGCACUGUAUAUCAAAUAGUCACUUCUCUGUCAUACGCAUAUUUUUAUUGUUGAGCAUUUAGGCAGUGACGUGCAUAUUUUUUGAUAAGGAUCUAUCGCACUUCAAGAUUUGGAGCAACUUCACUGAGUAUGAAUGUUAAUGAAAGACCACAUUCCUCUCUUCCUCCAAAGACUGAGUCCUUUAUUCAGAGGGACAUAAUGAUGGAGAUAAUGGCUGGGUCAUCGAUACCACCCUCUCUUCUUUCUAAAGGAAAUGGAAGUUACUUUCCUGUGUCCUGGUGAAUGCAGUUUUGACAACACAUCAGUUAAAAAAACAAUUGGAUGGGAUGAAAAAAGGACCGAACACACAUCACGUUUCUGGGCUCCUCCUCUGCAGGAUGAUGAUUCUGGGCCUGGAGACAUUCACAACCAUACGCACUCCUGCCGUUGAUGCCUUCUGAACACACUCCUAUCCAUUCCAACUCUCCUCUUCAAACCUUUAGGUACACGGUUUUGUAAGGACACAACUGAGAAUGUUUUGUUUAAAUUAAGAGAAUUGUGACUGGGAAGGACUUUGCCAACCUAACCCUGAAAUCUAAUCCUGCUACCUUCUCUGGUGAGCAUUGGAAGCUCAGGCUGAGUCGAGCUGCUCUGUUGGAAGCUAUGCGUUAUUGCCAUGAGAGCCACAGCGGCACACCCCACUCGGCCUCCUGGGGCUUCAGCACGAAAUGCUCUGCAGUCACAUCCACACAAAUGGCUCUGCAUGCAUGUGCAGCCUCAGCUCUUCAGGCUGUGGCUGGAUCCUGUUCUAGUUUGGGUAAGUGCCCUCCUACACUGAGGGAAGAGAUGCAUUUACCCAUCUGGUGAUUUUAUGGCAACAUUAAUUGACCAAAAGUAUAAUUAUGCAUUUGCUAUUAUGCACACGGCAGUCAGUCACAAUUAUUUACCAAGAUGCCUAAGGUGAUUAAAAAAGACAAACUAUGACAUGUGGGAAGUCCUAAGCUGCCACGUCAUCCAAAUGUGCAGAAAACAACACAUUCCUAGUAGGAACUCACAAGUAAAGUUACUCGUGUUUUCACUUACCCAAGAAAGCUACUGACUGAGGGGUUCAUCAGUACUGCUUUCAGGGAGUGCAAAAACAUGGGAAUAGUCACAGUGAAUUAGUCUAGAAAGUGGGGAAGCACACUGCAACACAUUCUGGAGUAUUUUCCCAUCUGAGUUAACAAGGCUGGGUGUGGAAUAUGGCAGAAUAUGGAAUAUGGAGCCCUCACCUUUGUCACAAGGGGUCUCUCAUGUAAGGAGUUGCGUUGGACUUUUUCUUCCCUAGAUCACUUUCGAACUCUGGAUUAAAUACAAACAUUAGUUGUCUAUCAUUGAAAAGCACGUAUCAAGCCUGAAGAAACUCCUGAAACCUUCAAAGCUAACAACUCUGAUGAGAGAGGUGCUUUUUACAAUGCCAGCAGCCAGAGUGAACUCUUCCUUUCAUCCCAUCUGCUUCCUCUGGACACUUCCCAUCCCUGCUAAAAACAUUCUGCAAAUUUCAGUGGUGCUGUAGCUCUACAGCAGGAAACAGCCGGUAUUGGUGUCCUGCAAGCAAGGACAGAGCACAAGAUGGAACUCUGAUCCCAGCACUGCAACUCUUAUGAAUGAGCACAUUCUGUGUCAUCAGGUUAUUACACAGUGAACUCUACCUAAAAACAGUAGCAUGGCCAUCAGGGGAGGCAGAGUCCUGCCAUGAAACAAUGCUGACCUCUGGCAAGUGGGAUGAAUUGUAUGGUAAGAAGAGAAAAAAAGAUCUAUUUUCUAGCCAAAGCACUCUGUCACAAAUGUAGAUGGUUGGCAAUGUGCAUGGUUGGCAAACCAUUUCAUCAGUGUGCUCUGCACACAAUGAGCUCAUAAUUUGUGAUACAGUGGGAAGCAAUCAUUUCAAACAGGCUGAGAGAGCUGGGGCUCUUCAGCCUGAAGAAGAGAAGGCUUCAAGGGGACCUUACAGUGACCUUCCAGUACCUGAAGGAGGCCUAUGGGAAAGCUGGGGAGGGACUUUUUAGAAGGGCACAUAGUGACAGGAUGAGGGAAAAUGGUUUUAAACUGGAAGAGGGUAAGUUUAGACUAGCUACUGGAAAGAAAUUCUUUACUAUGAAGGUGGUGAGACACUGGAACAGGUUUCCUGGGAAGGGUGUGAAUGUCCCCUCCCUGGAAGCAUUCAAGGCCAGACUGGAUGGGACUUUGAGCAUCCUGGCCUAGUGGGAGGUGUCCCUGCCUAUAGCAGGGGAUUGGAACCAGAUCAUCUUAAAGGUCCCUUCCAACUCAAACCAUUCUAUGAUUCUAUGAUAAUUUUAGGAGAAAUAAGGAGGACACUUUCAGAUACAGCUGAUAGCCUUCACUUUCAG
ensembl:lncRNA